rnacentral:rRNA from 1 species
UCUGGUGAUUUGACGCAGAGGCAAUACCUGUUCUCAUUCCGAACACAGAAGUCAAGCUCUGUAGUGCCGAUGGUACUCGCAAGGGGAGAGUAGGCAGUCGCCAGUU